rnacentral:rRNA from 1 species
UUCCUUGGAAAAGGGCAUCAUAGAGGGUGAGAAUCCUGUUUAUGACCUUUGUACUUCUCCUUUAUGAAUCUCCUUCAAUGAGUCGAGUUGUUUGGGAAUGCAGCUCUAAAUGGGUGGUAAAUUCCAUCUAAAGCUAAAUAUUGGCAAGAGACCGAUAGCGCACAAGUAGAGUGAUCGAAAGAUGAAAAGAACUCUGAACAGAGAGUUAAAGAGUACGUGAAAUUGUUGAAAGGGAAGCACUUGUGACCAGACAAAUUUGCAAUUAAUCAGCCAUCAGUUUUGGUGGUGCACUUGAUUGUAGGUGGGUCAGCAUCAGUUAUAGCAGUGGGACAAAGAUCAAAAGAAUGUAGCUCCUCUUUGAGGAGUGUUAUAGCUUUUGGUUUAAUACCGCUUGCCAUAACUGAGGAUAGCACUUUAAUGUAAGGAUGCUGACAUAAUGGUCCUAAGUGACCCGUCUUGAAACACGGACCAAGGAGUCUAACAUCUAUGCGAGUAUUUGGGUGUAAGCCCUUAUGCGUAAUGAAAGUAAAUGGAGGUGGAAACCAUUAGGUGCACCAUCGACCGAUCCUGAAGUUUUCUGAUGGAUUUGAGUAGGAGCAUAGCUGUUGGGACCCGAAAGAUGGUGAACUAUGCCUGAAUAGGGUGAAGCCAGAGGAAACUCUGGUGGAGGCUCGCAGCGGUUCUG